GAGAGUGUCCAACCUCUCUGUGACCUUUCAUUAGACUUCAGAGGAACGCUUUCAGGGGAUUCGGACUUUAUGGAGGUACUCCAGCAGAGGGACGCCGUCAGGGGAUUCGGACUUUAUGGAGGUACUCCAGCAGAGGGACGCCGUCAGGGGAUUCGGACUUUAUGGAGGUACUCCAGCAGAGGGACGCCGUCAGGGGAUUCGGACUUUAUGGAGGUACUCCAGCAGAGGGACGCCGUCAGGGGAUUCGGACUUUAUGGAGGUACUCCAGCAUGGCUCCCAAGGCCCAGCUGCUCUCAAAGCCUUUCACUUUUUUUGUCAGCUUCAAAAUACAGAGAACAACACGCCUGACCUGCAGCCCCACAGAGAACAACACGCCUGACCUGCAGCCCCACAGAGAACAACACGCCUGACCUGCAGCCCCACAGAGAACAAUACGCCUGACCUGCAGCCCCACAGAGAACAAUACGCCUGACCUGCAGCCCCACAGAGAACAACACACCUUACCUGCAGGCCCACGCUGUCCUGAAAGCCAAAGCCCUCCGUCAGCAAGGCUGUGAUGUAUGUCAGGUCCAUACACUCAAAAGGCUUGGCGUAGUGAUCCUUGGACUUGUCACUGCAUACUGAAACACAGCACAAAGAACAAGCUCCUCGAAACCAAGUCUAGCUGAAAGCCUUUUACUGUAUGAGACAUUCACUCCAAAACAUGCAGUUACACAAACGAGGUCUGCUCUCUCUCCCUGGCCAGACAAGGGCACACGUUAGAGUUUGUACCAAAUUGUAACCUGUACAGCCAGGAUUGAUGCAGCAGCUGCAAAACUGAACGAUCCGUAUGCCCCUACUCAGCCGUAUGCCCCUACUCAGCCGUAUGCCCCUACUCAGCCGUUUACAGUGUGUUACACGCACAGGAGGCUUUAGAGCCGCCAUUAUGCUCAGCUUGGUGAGGGUCCCCCCCCGACCCCCCCGGCUUUCAGCAGGACCCCUCCUCACCUUCUUUUGCUUUCUUCUUAAACCUUUUCACUUCCACAUGCUCACCUUGACUGCCUUCUGAAAUAAAUUGAAAAAUUCA